rnacentral:lncRNA from 1 species
UACCCGCUUAGUUUUAUGUACUAUAUGUUUUCCUUUCUCAGAUGCCCUCAUAGUCCUACUUUUGUCUUAGAACAUUAUUUUCUGGUCGCAGAAGAUACUUCAAAUGAUGGGCUUCCACUUGCUUUUGGUUUGUAGAUGCACUUCGAUCCACUCCAAGUUGUGAUAAAUCUAGAGGUUGGCAUGAGGCAUCCAUCCCUCAAAAUUCUUUUACAAGUAUAAGCGAAAAGAUGAUGUGUCAAAUAAAUUGCUACUGGCAUUUACAUCAGGGAUCAUGGACGGAUCUUUCAAUUAGAUGGGUUGAUAGUGUGGAUAGACUUUUCUGGCGACAAACAAACUCUGAAGGAAAGGGUUGAGGGCUGAUGGGUUGGUUUUUCCAUUUGUAGCAGUGGAGUGCAAACUUGGUUCAAGUAGCAGUAGAUGCAAGUAUGCUUUCUGAGCUUUUGGUGCUGUUGGUUGGAUGUGUCAUGAAUUUUGCUGUUUGUCAGGAUGCUAUGUAGCUGCCUAUGGUCUGGAGUUGCUCUCCAUUUCUUCUUUAGCUUCUCAGUUUUAAGUUGUCAGGAUGGAGGUUGUCCUGUU